rnacentral:rRNA from 1 species
AGAGUUUGAUCCUGGCUUAGGACGAACGCUGGCGGUGUGCCUCAUACAUGCAAGUCGAACGAGAAAUUACUUCGGGUAAUGGAAAGUGGCGGACGGGUGAGUAAUAUGUAGGAAAUCUGCCCUAGAGAGGGGGACAACAGAGGGAAACUUCUGCUAAUACCCCAUAUGAGCUUAGUUGAAAUACUAAUCUUGAAAACUCCGGUGCUCUAGGAUGAGCCUGCAUCUGAUUAGCUAGUUGGUGGUGUAAUGGACCACAAAGGCGACGAUCAGUAGCUGGUUUGAGAGGAUGAUCAGCCACAAUGGGACUGAGACACGGCCCAUACUCCUACGGGAGGCAGCAGUAGGGAAUUUUGCGCAAUGGGGGAAACCCUGACGCAGCAACACCGCGUGAAUGUUAAGCCCUUCGGGGUAUAAAGUUCUGUCAAUGGGGAAGAAUAAAUGACUGUACCCAUAAAGGAAGCACCGGCUAACUCCGUGCCAGCCGCCGC